UGCAAGUCGAACGGGAUUACUUUUGUAGCAAUACAGAAGUAAUUCAGUGGCGNACGGGUGCGUAACACGUGGGCAAUCUGCCGAAAAGUGGGGGAUAGCUCGCCGAAAGGCGAAUUAAUACCGCAUGUGGUGAGGGACGACAUCUUCCUGAAUCCAAAGCCGGGGCAACCUGGCGCUUUUUGAGGAGCCCGCGGCCUAUCAGCUAGUUGGUGAGGUAACGGCUCACCAAGGCUAUGACGGGUAGCUGGUCUGAGAGGACGACCAGUCACACUGGAACUGAGACACGGUCCAGACACCUACGGGUGGCAGCAGUCGAGAAUUUUUCUCAAUGGGGGAAACCCUGAAGGAGCGACGCCGCGUGGAGGAUGAAGGCUUUCGGGUUGUAAACUCCUGUCAUUUGGGAACAAGGUGGACACGUUAACUGCGUGGUCAUUGAUAGUACCAGAAGAGGAAGGGACGGCUAACUCUGUGCCAGCAGCCGCGGUAAUACAGAGGUCCCAAGCGUUGUUCGGAUUCAUUGGGCGUAAAGGGUGCGUAGGUGGCGCCGUAAGUCGGGUGUGAAAUUUCGGAGCUUAACUCCGAAACUGCAUUCGAUACUGCGGUGCUUGAGGACUGGAGAGGAGACUGGAAUUCAUGGUGUAGCAGUGAAAUGCGUAGAGAUCAUGAGGAAGACCAGUGGCGAAGGCGGGUCUCUGGACAGUUCCUGACACUGAGGCACGAAGGCCAGGGGAGCAAACGGGAUUAGAUACCCCCGGUAGUCCUGGCAGUAAACGGUGCACGUUUGGUGUGGGAGGAUUCGACCCCUUCCGCGCCGGANCUAACGCGUUAACCGUGCCCCCUGGGGAGUACGGUCGCNAAAUUAAACUCAAAGAAAUUUAACGGGGGCCC
rnacentral:rRNA from 1 species